UACGUAGGGUGCGAGCGUUAAUCGGAAUUACUGGGCGUAAAGCGUGCGCAGGCGGCGCGUUAAGACAGGUGUGAAAGCCCCGAGCUUAACUUGGGAAUUGCGCUUGUGACUGGCGUGCUGGAGUGUGGCAGGGGGGAGGUGGAAUUCCACGUGUAGCAGUGAAAUGCGUAGAGAUGUGGAGGAACACCGAUGGCGAAGGCAGCCUCCUGGGCCAGCACUGACGCUCAUGCACGAAAGCGUGGGGAGCAAACAGG
rnacentral:rRNA from 1 species